GAAGAAUCUCAAAGGUUUGCAAACAACUCAAUAUCAUUGUACUUCAAGUCUAAUUUUUAUAAGGAGUCUUCUUCUAGGUGGCUCAUUUAGCCUGAAAAGACAAAUCUGUAGAGGGAUGAUCUAAAUUUAUAGGCUGUGUCAAUACACUUUGGCAUAAAAUGGGGAGCUGGAACCCCUCUGAGACUAUUGUUCAUAUUUAAAAGGAGAAAACAAAGAGCCAGAAGAAAAGGUGUGGGUAAUUAUUGAGAGGCCUAUACUUCCUGAUUUGUUCCACUAACAAGUCAAAUUUGAGCAUUCUACAGAAGUCUCCCUAACUGAGUGGACUCAGUUCAACUUUGAUGAACAGGUCAGUUCUUGAGGAAGUGAGGGACCACCAGCUGAGAAUAAAUGCAAUGCUUGGUUUUCUGACAGUGAUCCUGCCCAUAUUGUUCCUGAUAAACAAAGCUCUUCAGAUUUUGUUUCCUGCUCUACAAAUAUGGUGAACUUUUCCAAAGUCAGCUAACUAAAUAUUAGGAAGGAUUAUUGAUGAAAUAUCUUAAAGAAGCAGAGCUUGUCAAAUGGGCCACUUUUUAAUAGUCUCCUUCCAUUUCCUUUGUUUUUUUUUUAAUUUACUAAGCAGAGUAAAAUGGAGGUCAGUAUGUGGAGGGGGACUAUCUGAUGUCAGAAAUGACUUGAGAAAAAUUGAAGGAAGAGAAUCCACAUAAGCUUUAUCCUAAGAUAAACUUUAUCCAAAACAAAAGGUAGAAAGCUUAGCAGUCCUUAAUAAAGAAGAGGAAACUAAAAAUAAGGUUUAAUUAGAAAUGAUAGAAUCUGGGCUGGUUGAGAAAAGCAAUGUGGCAAUUAAAAGGUGCUCUGGGAUAAAGAAUAGCAUCACUAGUCUGACAUAGUUCUCUGUGUGUGGUACAAUUGGCCUCGGUAAUUUUAUCUUAGACAUCUGUGGGUACAAGCUUUGCAGUGUUCACCAUCUAAACCUGAGAUUUCCCUUUCUGGCAGUUAUACCAGCACGUAUUGCAAAACAUUUUAAUAUCCCCUUAUUUCUUCUUUCCUGAAAGAAGAUAAUUCUCCUUCAGUUUAUCUCACUGACUUGGCAAGCAGUCACCAUUACAGCCUUUCUGUUCAUUUCCUGAAAGUGCAUCUAUGUGAAAAGAUUGUGGUGAUCAUGUUAUUGAAAGCAUGCUCAAUUACGUUUUCAUUGCCCUGUCCAUUUUUAUAAUAAUGCAUCUGAAAUGGUGUCUGUCAUUCUAGAGAUCUUUUGUGAGAAAUUCUUGCAAUGACUAUGCGGGGGCAUUCCCCAAUCUCUAAUCUCUUGCCCACAUCCUGUCAGUGAUCACCUACAAGAAUUUCUCUCUGUCUUUCCCAUGCCACACAUCAUCUCUCGUUUUGUGCGAUGUCUCUAUGGGUACAUUUCUCAUCUCUCUUCCUGGGCUAUAAGCUCCGUAUUGGAUCGUUUACAUCAUCCAACGCACCAAGUAUAGUCCUUUACACUCUCCAGUGUUUAGAAACAAGAUUAAUGCAGCAAUUAACAUAUUUUAGUGUGCAGUUUUAGUGCAGAUAUUUAAAACGUGGCUCUGGAGUUAGACUGCCUGGAUUUGAAUCCCAGUUUGGCCUUUCAUGGGUUGUGUGUCCUUUAAGUUCUUUGCUGCUCUGACCCAAGGUCUUCUCAUUUGUAAAAUGGCAAUAACAAGUGCACAUAUCUCAUAAAUUUUAGUUGAAAACUAAAAUAAGAUAAAACAUAGAAGUAUUCAGAAUAGCACCUGGAACAUAGUACAUACCCAAUAAAUAUUAGCUACCUAAAAAUAUACUUGAUCUUCUGGCAAAUUCAAUCCUAUUAGAAGCAGAAAAAAAUGAAGCAAAUCAAGUAGUUUGCGUUUUAGAAAAAAAAUGGCCAGGAGUAAGCUGCAGUAUUCAACUCUUUCACAGAAAUAUUAUUUGUAAAGAUGUUACUGUUAGUACUGUGGACUAUAUAUUCAAGGAAACUAGUAAUGCCAGAUAAAAUUUAAAAGAAUUUUUUAAAGGCUGAGUCAGUGAGAAAGCAAAUAAACUUAUAAAGAUUCAGAAAUGAGAAGAAAAAGCACAAACCUCAGAGGCAGUGAGCUGGGGCCAGUAUUUUCCCCAGAGGAUCUGCUAAUCUCUGGUCGCCUCAUUAUGGGUUUCAAUGAGCAAAUAUCUAAGAGUUAGGAGAAAAAGACAAUGUGUGAGAUGGACUUAGAGACAACACCCUUUCCCCUCAAUGCCACUGAAAACAGGGACUCUCCAGGAGUGACAUUCUCAGACGGCAAACUAUUAGAAAAAAGAAAAAACUAUGCACAAAAUGAGACAGUGAUAAGCACACCUCCCUCAGCUUUAGUUUGAGAGAAAGAGAAAAAGCAAAAGAGUCUUCCUGAUAAUUCUGUUUUUAAAAUUUAUUUUUAUGAGAUAAUAUUGACAUAUGACAUUGUGUAAGUUUAAGGUGUUUGAUGUGUCGAUACAUUUACAUAUUGCAAUGCACUUACCACUCUAGCAUUAGCUAACACCUCUAUCAUAUCACAUAAUUAUAUUUAUUAUUUUGUGGUGGGGACAAUUAAGAUCUAGCCUAUACAGAUUUUGAAAUAUACUGAUGUACCUCUGAAAUUUAUAUAAUGUUAUAAACCAAUGUCACCUCAAUAAAUAAAUAAAUAUCUAGUGUCUUAGGAACUUUGAAGUUUAAGAUAGAAUAUUGCUGAUUUAUCUGAAAGUUAAAAGUUUGUACCAUUAAACAACAUAUCUCCAAUUCCCUUAGCCCCCAGUCUCUAGUAACUUCCAUUCCAUUUGUUUUUACAAGUUCGGCAUUUUUAGAAUCCACAUGUUACUAUCAUAUAGUUCUGUCUUACUCUGUCUGACUUAUCUCACUUAGUGUAAUGCCCUCACUGUCCAUCCAUGUUGCUGCAAAUGGCAGAAUUUCCUUCUUUCUCUUGUCUGAGUAAUAUUCCACUGUGUGUGUGUGUGUGUGUGUGUGUAACAUCUUCUUUAUCUAUUAAUGCAUUGACAGACACUUAGGUUGUUUCCAUAUCAUGGCUAUUGUGAAUAAUGUUGCAAUAAACAUGAGAAUGAAGAGAUCUUUUUGAUAUCCUUUUUUCAUUUCUUUGGAUAUAUACCCAGAAG
rnacentral:lncRNA from 1 species